GCAGGUUCGAGUCGCGGUUGUGCCAAGAGCAUUUUAGCGUCGGGCGUCCUCCUUAGUUAAUUCCACCCGAGAGGAGAAAGGGUUAAGUAGAAUAAGUAAGGAGUUAAAGUAACUGUGGUCGAGAUGGCCUAGUGGUAAGGGCAACGUGCUGCAUGUGUGGGAGGGCAGGUUCGAGUCGCGGUUGUGCCAAGAGCAUUUUAGCGUCGGGCGUCCUCCUUAGUUAAUUCCACCCGAGAGGAGAAAGGGUUAAGUAGGAUAAGUAAGGAGUUAAAGUAACUGUGGUCGAGAUGGCCUAGUGGUAAGGGCAACGUGCUGCAUGUGGGGGAGGGCAGGUUCGAGUCGCGGUUGUGCCAAGAGCAUUUUAGCGUCGGGCGUCCUCCUUAGUUAAUUCCACCCGAGAGGAGAAAAGGUUAAGUAGGAUAAGUAAGGAGUUAAAGUAACUGUGGUCGAGAUGGCCUAGUGGUAAGGGCAACGUGCUGAAUGUGGGAGAGGGCAGGUUCGAGUCGCGGUUGUGCCAAGAGCAUUUUAGCGUCGGGCGUCCUCGUUAAUUAUUCCACCCUAGAGAAGAAAGAGUUAAGUAAAAUAAAAAAAGAAGGUAAAGCAAGUGCAGCCGAGAUGGUCUAGUGGUAAAGACGGAAGUAUUGCCAGUGCGUGAAGCCAGGUUCGAUUCCUGGUUGUGUCACAAAGCAUUUUGGGCCUCGACAAGGGUAUAAUUAAUUAUAAGGUCGAUGGGAAAAUGCUUAAGUACAAUAAAAACAUAACUAUUUCACCAAUAGGCCUCAUGGCCUAGAGGUACCUGCAAGUAGGCGAUCGACUGGUGCGGAUCGUGGCGGAGAAAUAGCAGACGCCUUUCUGCGGCGCCGAAUUUCCAGAGGUUAACACUGAGGAAGUGCUAACAAGAUCAGAAAAAAACACUAAACCAUACUAUUCCUCCCACCAACCAAUACAUUUUUUAAAAAUAGAAAAACCAAUGUCUUGGGUUACCUGUGCCGAGGACACAGGUAGCCCAAGACACGACACAGGUAACCCAAGACGUUUAAUUUUCUAUUUUUUUAAAAAAUAAGUGAGGACGUGGUGACUGAGGACGUGGUCCUCAAUUGAAAGAUG